AAUAUUGGACAAUGGGGGCAACCCUGAUCCAGCCAUGCCGCGUGUGUGAAGAAGGCCUUCUGAUUGUAAAGCACUUUAAGUUGGGAGGAAGGGCUUUAGGUUAAUACCCUGAAGUUUUGACGUUACCAACAGAUUAAGCACCGCGCAACUCUGUGCCAGCAGCCGGGGUAAUACAGAGGGUGCAAGCGUUAAUCGGAAUUACUGGGCGUAAAGCGCGCGUAGGUGGUUCAGUAAGUUUGGUGUGAAAUCCCCGGGCUUAACCUGGGAACUGCUUUCAUGACUGCUGAGCUAGAGUACGGUAGGGGGUAGUGGAAUUUCCCGUGUAGCGGUGAAAUGCGUAGAUAUAGGGAGGAACACCAGUGGCGAAGGCGACUACCUGGACUGAUACUGACACUGAAGUGCGAAAGCGUGGGGAGCAAAC
rnacentral:rRNA from 1 species